UUUAACUGAGCGUUCAGUUACUUGACGUAGACCCGAAACCGGGCGACCUACCCAUGAGCAGGAUGAAGCGAAAGUAAAAUUUCGUGGAGGUCCGAACCCACGAGCGUUGAAAAGCUCGGGGAUGACUUGUGGGUAGCGGUGAAAUUCCAAUCGAGCCCGGAGAUAGCUGGUUCUCCCCGAAAUAGCUUUAGGGCUAGCCUCAAGGUGAGAGAUACGGAGGUAGAGCACUGAAUGUCCUAGGGGGUAUUGCACCUACCGAAGACUAUCAAACUCCGAAUGCCGUCAUCUUAUACUUGGGAGUCAGACUGUGGGUGAUAAGAUUCAUAGUCGAAAGGGCAACAGCCCAGAUCGUCAGCUAAGGUCCCUAAAUGUAAGUUAAGUGGUAAAGGAUGUGGGAUUGCACAGACAACCAGGAUGUUGGCUUAGAAGCAGCCACUCAUUCAAAGAGUGCGUAAUAGCUCACUGGUCGAGUGAUCCUGCGCCGAAGAUUUCCGGGGCUAAAACUUACUACCGAAGCUACGGCAUCAGUAAUGAUGGGUAGGGGAGCUUCCCAUACGGGUUGAAGCAUGACCGUAAGGACAUGUGGACAGUAUGGGAGUGAGAAUGUUGGCAUGAGUAGCGAGAUGUGGGUGAGAAUCCCACAGGCCGUAAACCCAAGGUUUCCAGGGGAAGGUUCGUCCGCCCUGGGUUAGUCGGGACCUAAGCUGAGGCCGAAAGGCGUAGGUGAUGGACAACAGGUUGAUAUUCCUGUACUACCGAUAACCGUUUGAGAGAUGGGAUGACACAGUAGGAUAAGCUAAGCACACUGUUGGU
rnacentral:rRNA from 1 species